CCGCGAAGACAGGCCCCGCCCCUCGAGUGGGCGGGGUCAAUGAGACAGCCCCGUUCUUACCGCUGCUCCGUGAUUGGUCAGCGUCGCCCUUGAGCGGUGACGUUGCCUGGGCGGAGAGUUUCCGAGAGCAGCGCGGGAGCUGAGAAGUCGGGUUGGUCCCGGGCAGGCCUCAAGCAGUUUGCUCCUCUGUCUUCCCGAUUCCAAGUGCCCCGACUGCGUCCCCACGAACUCCCAGUCCUUACCGCCUGCUGCUCUGGAGUGCCUCGCUGUUUCCCAGGUCCCCGCGUGAGCGUCGAGUGAGACCUCUAUGUGGCGAGGCCGGGCCUUUGUAGAUGUCUAUUCUUGCAAAUAAAUGGAAAACGCAUUGCAGAUUAGAUGAAGAUGAUGACAGAAGAACCAGAUUUCUUGGGACAGGACUCUGAUGGGGGUAGUGAAGAGGUGGCCCUAACUCCUGCAGAGCUCAUUGAAAGGCUGGAGCAGAUCAUUCAUUCAGGACAUGCUGCGUCUGGGGUUGGCAUUAUUUCCCUUUCGAAAUAACAGAGUGCACAUGCAAGUCUUGCCCACGCGGAACUCACACGUGCCUGGCAGGAAAGAGCUCUCACGAAGUGCCAGCUG